UAAACAGAUUGUCCUAAUAUCUAACUUUACCUGCAACGCACACCUGUUUCAUUGCUGUUAAUUUUUCAAUCCACACUGGGGGGGGGGGGGGUCAGAAAAGUUUCUACUUUUAUGAGGGGGGAGGCACAAAAAGUUUGCCUUCAGUCUGGAGGGGGGGGUCAAAAAAGUUUUCAAUCCUUAUUUUCCCCAUUUCCCAACCCCCCCUCCCCAUAAAUAAUGACCACUCCUUAA